rnacentral:rRNA from 1 species
CCUGAUCCAGCAAUGCCGCGUGUGUGAAGAAGGCCUUCGGGUUGUAAAGCACUUUUGUCCGGAAAGAAAUCCUUGGCUCUAAUACAGUCGGGGGAUGACGGUACCGGAAGAAUAAGCACCGGCUAACUACGUGCCAGCACCGCGGUAAUACGUAGGGUGCAAGCGUUAAUCGGAAUUACUGGGCGUAAAGCGUGCGCAGGCGGUUUGCAAGACCGAUGUGAAAUCCCCGGGCUCAACCUGGGAACUGCAUUGGUGACUGGCAGGCUAGAGUAUGGCAAGGGGGUAGAAUUCCACGUGUAGCAGUGAAAUGCGUAGAGAUGUGGAGGAAUACCGAUGGCGAAGGCAGCCCCCUGGGCCAAUACUGACGCUCAUGCACGAAAGCGUGGGGAGCAAACAGGAUUAGAUACCCUGGUAGUCCACGCCCUAAACGAUGUCAACUAGUUGUUGGGGAUUCAUUUCCUUAGUAACGUAGCUAACGCGUGAAGUUGACCGCCUGGGGAGUACGGUCGCAAGAUUAAAACUCAAAGGAAUUGAAGG